UUCAUCAUAACAGGUAACACACCUGACUCCUCUUCCUCAUGAAAGGGUAACACAGCUGAGAGAUAGAGACUCCUCUUCAUCAUGACAGGUAACACACCUGACUCCUCUUCAUCAUAACAGGAAACACACCUGACUCCUCUUCCUCAUGACAGGUAACACACCUGAGAGAUAGAGACUCCUCUUCAUCAUGACAGGUAACACACCUGAGAGAUAGAGACUCUUCUUCCUCAUGACAGGUAACACACCUGACUCCUCUAUCUCAUGACAGGUAACACACCUGAGAGAUAGAGACUCCUCUUCAUCAUGACAGGUAACACACCUGACUCCUCUUCCUCAUGGAAGGUAACACACCUGAGAGAUAGAGACUCCUCUUCAUCAUGACAGGUAACACACCUGACUCCUCUUCAUCAUGACAGGUAACACACCUGACUCCUCUUCAUCAUGACAGGUAACACACCUGAGAGAUAGAGACUCCUCUUCAUCAUGACAGGUAACACACCUGAGAGAUAGAGACUCCUCUUCCUCAUGACACGUAACACACCUGAGAGAUAGAGACUCCUCUUCCACAUGACAGGUAACACACCUGACUCCUCUUCAUCAUGACAGGUAACACACCUGAGAGAUAGAGACUCCUCUUCCUCAUGACAGGUGACACACCUGAGAGAUAGAGACUCCUCUUCAUCAUGACUGGUAACACACCUGACUCCUCUUCAUCAUGACAGGUAACACACCUGAGAGAUAGAGACUCCUCUUCCUCAUGACAGGUAACACACCUGACUACUCUUCAUCAUGACAGGUAACACACCUGAGAGAUAGAGACUCCUCUUCAUCAUGACAGGUAACACACC